AAUAGGGGACUCUCUCCUAUGCUUGUUUUGGUGCCCAGUAAGCAGGCCCUCAAUAAAUGUUUGCUGACUGGUUGAUUAACCAUUAGACAAACAGGCCUGCCCAGGACGGCUAAUCCCUCAAAAUAAACACUUGUGAAACUCAGAGUUGAUCCCGAAUCCUGGGGAUCUUUCAGGCUCUUUGUAAAUCUAGUAUUAUCCAGGGAACGGCAGACCUCUGGAGGCUGAGCUGCCUUUAAGAAUAAAAACCUCUCCUCUCCCUCCCCUCCCACUCCUCCCAGGACAGAGAAGGGCGACUUUUGCAGGGAGGGCACCUUCCAAGGAUCUUUGCUCAUUUCCCUCCCCACCAGGGAUCCCUACCUUAAAGGUUGGGAUAACAAUUGCCUAUGAUGGGGAUGGAGCAACAGCACUCGCCCAGCAGAGAUGAUACUAAACGUGCAUCUUAGAAGACAGUCAAUGGGUUAUCGUACGUCAUUUAACCUGUCCGUUUGAGGGUGGUCAUUUAUGUGCCUUUCAGCUUUUUGUCAUCUCUCUUGUCUCCCACUUGGACAUCCCAGGGUUGCCCAGCAGCGCCUCUGUGUUUCAGAGCCAGACUCCCUCCCAUCCUUCCUCUGGACUUUUUCUCCUGAGAGCCAGUCUGCAGCUUCAAAAGCGGGUGGUUAUACUCACUCCUCAGUCUGUGAGCAUUUAUUGAUUAACCUGCCAGUCAGCAAGUACUUAGUGAGCAUCCGUUGUGUGCAUCAGUCAUUGUGUUGGGAGUGGAGAGGACCCCUGAGAAGUGUAAAACAGGAUCCGCUCUCAAGGAGCUGCAACUACGCAGGGAGAUGCCUGAAGAGAGAUGAUCCUGGGCUGGAAGGUCUUGAAGCUUCUCUGGGGCAUUAAUAUAAUGUGGUUAUAGACUAAGCAAUUGGGUUUGGGUCAGCGCCUGAUGGAUGGGUAGGAUCUGGCUAUCUAUUAGAAGGUGGGGCAGCGGGGAGAUGGGUAGACAUUCCAAGAACAGGGAAAGUCAAGGAGGUUUGAAAAUACAAGGUGUGUUCUAGACUUGACCUGCUUGGCCAGAGCAGAGGAGUUUUAUGAAGAAAUGACAGAGGUUUACCUCAAUAUUGGUUAGAACUAAUAAUUAUGUAAUGUAUCCCAUAGGCAGCAGAGAACAAAUGAACAAUUUGAGCAGGUAAAAAACUAAAAUUGAAUAGUUUUUAUGAUAGUGUUCACAUCCCAGUUGCUCAGUGUUGCCUCUGUGAUGAACACUGUUUACUUUACACUCAGCAACAAUUCCUGACUCCUUUCUAACAGAACUCCAAUGUUGUUCAAGAUCUACUCCCCCACUAUUCUGCCAUGUGCCCUAAGAAAAGCCGGCCCCACCCUGCGGUGGCUCAUGCCUGUAAUCUCAGCGCUUUGGGAGGCCGAGGAGGCCGAUCGCCUGAGGUCAGGAGUUCGAGCCCAGCUUGGCCAAUGUGGUGAAACCCCGUCUCUAUUAAAAAUACAAAAAUUAGCCAGGUGUAGUCGCACAUGCCUGUAAUCCCAGCUACCAGGGAGGUUGAGGCAGGAGAAUCGCUGGAACCUAGGAGGCAGAGGCUGCAGUGAGCCAAGAUCACGCCACUGCACUCCAGCCUGGAUGACAGAGUGAGGCUCUGUCUCAAAAAAAAAAAAAAAAAGAAAGAAAAGCCGGUCCCACCCCAUGCUCCAGAGUGGGUCUGAUUGGUCUAUCUUGCCAAUGGCUGGUGCUAGAAUGAGUAUGACUCACUUCUAGCCCAUGAGAGCUGAUGGGAAGUCCACUAGGGGACUCCUGAAAAAAAUGUCCUUGUUCCUAAGAGGAACUCAAGAAAGAGAUGGUCUUUUCUUUCCCCGCCCCCUUUGACAUGAACCAGGCAAGAUGAUUUUUAUUUUUACUCUGGACAUUGUCAUAUCUGGAGGUGGCCGUUUUGCCACUAGACUGAAGAUACAGUCACCAAUUAAGGUAGCCAAGCAGAGAGAUGAAAAGAACAUGAUUAUCUGAUUAUAUUGUUGAGCCACUGAAUCAACCACCCUGAAACCUACCCAUUCUAUUAUGUGAUAUAAUACAUUUCUGUAUCAUUUAAGCUAGUUGGAGUCAGGGUUUUCUGUUACUCGCAGCCCAAAUCAUCCUCAUUGCUUUUCUCCUGUCUCUUGAAAUCCUUUUUCCCCAUUAAGUCCAUUCUCUAGUGAACUCAUUGGAAGCUCUAGUUCCAUGGCCUUUCCUGUUUCUCCAGUUCUAUUGACUAUUUGCUCUCCUUACUGUCUUUCAUGUCAUUAUAGAAUCCUAUAGCAUAGUAGUUCACCUUCACACUUCUCUUGCCAGCUCCCUCCAAAGCCUCAGUCCUCCCAUCCCCCCAGCACAUUCUCCCAUGAAAUCCCCAGCCAUGGACCAAUCCAACUCUGCCUUUGCUGCUCCCACCCUGAGCUAGGAUAAUAAACUGUUGUCCAGGUUUGUCUGGGACUGAGGGACUUCCUGGGAUUCCAGCCUUUCACUGCUAAAAUGGGGAUUGUGCUGGGUAAACUGGGAUUAUGGGGGACCCUAUCUUUUGCUGGUGAGGCUGCUGGGAAAAGCACCCAACAAGGUGAUCAGUGGCCAUUAUCAAUGUGUGGCUCCAAUCUCCACUGCAGCGCACCCCUAUUUGGCAGUCCUGUUGCCCAGUCCUGGUCACCCUGGCAACAUUAGCCCCCUUCACCUCAGUGGUGGUUUUAAAUCUUCACCAGGGGCUGGCUGGAAUGUAGUGAUGUUUACAACUAAUUGAUCACAAGCAGUUACCGAUUCCUUUGUUCCUGCUCCACUCUCACUGCUUCACUUGACUAGCCUUUAAAAAUGUCUUCACCAGGGCUCUCAAACUGCCUACCCAGCUCCCACCCAACUCCUGUCACAGCUGACUAACAAUUUCAUGGAGAAAAUAGAAUCUAUUGGCCAUCAACUCCUUCACCUUCCUGCAUUCUCAGAACACAUCUUCUCUCCUGUUUCUUAGAAGGAAGGCUUUCUCCAUUCCAAAGCAAUCACCAGAAAUCCAGACCCCUAUCCCUUCCUCUGCAUCCAUCUCUAGCUAUCACCCUUUUCCUAUCCCUUCACCAACAAGCUACCUGCAAUGUAAGUCUCAUUUGCAGUCUGUUCCUAACUCUCCCUUCAACUCUGCCCCUAUUUCUGCUCUUGCUGGGUUCUCCAAGGACCCAUUAAUGGACUGAGGCCAUGGGCUGUCUUCUCACUGUGGUCCUGCUGAUCAACCCAUCUCCUUGGAGCCUGCUCUCUUCCCUUGAUAUCGCUUCCCUAAUUCCCUUCCCAUCUCUGCCUGCUCCUGCUCAGUUUUCUCUUAGGGCUUCUCUCCUCUGCACUGUAAAUAUUGGCAUUUCCUCCCUCUCUCUUUCUCAACUGCACACAUAUCUUGGAAGUUUUUAAUUGAUAACUAUGGUUUCAACUAUAAGCAAAUCUUCCCCCCCUCCAAGUUACUUUUGUUGUACUGUAUUAUCAAAUCUUGACAACUCCUGAAUUUGUAGCUCUAGCCAAGACUGUUCUUCUAUGCUUUGACCUGUAUUUGCUGUAAAGACAUCAGUGUGAUUGUUAAGAUUCACAGUUUUGGAGUCAGACAUAUCUAGGUUUGAGUCCUGGCUCUGCCACUUAUUAGCUUUGUGCAUUUGGUCAGGUGUCUUAAGUUUUCUGUGCUUCAGUUUCCUCACUUAUAAACUGGAGAUCAUCAUGUGCUUGCCUUAUGGAGCUGCUGAGAAGAUUACAUGAGAUUAUGUACUGUGCGUAGGCAGUGCCUGGCUCAUAGUAACAAUGCAGGUAUGUUUAUAGCAUUCAGUUGCCUAUUACUCAUCUUUUUUUUUAAAGCUUGUAUUUCCUAAACAGGCUUAUACUAAACAACUUAUAUCAUUUAAGUCUAAAAAACAAAAAAUUUUUAAAAGCCAUGAAGGAGGUAUCAUAUUCUCUCUUUACAGGUGAAGAAACUGAAGCUGACAAAGCAUCUGUGUAAGGUCUCACAUCCUGGUGGUGGCCAAGCCUGGCUUUGGACAGACUGAUGCCAAAGUCCUUCUCAGCCACAACGAUGACCCCAUCUCAAACCGUAUUCAAACCAAAAUUCAUGUUCCAUACCUGUUUGUCUGCUUAAAAUCUCAUUUUGCUGGAAGGAUGUUAGCAAAAACCAACCCUGCAGGGUAGAGAAGGGUGUAGACAGGAAGGUGGUGCUAGACUCUGCUUUCUCUAUAGCCCUACCCCAUUCAACCCAUCACCAAGGCCAGUUGAGGUCCUUCCCAAAUAUUCCCCUCCCUGCAGACAUCCUCUUCCCUCCAUCCGCUUGCCCUCUGUUAGUCCCUCCAGAUGUUUCUGUUGGGUUAUUGCCACAGCCUCCUAACUGGUCUUUCUGCUGGAGACAGCACCUAGUAGGACAUCAAGAAAUAAUCAAGUACCCCUGCUGACCCUAGCCUUGCUCCUAAUCCUCCCUUUGUUCUGCUGCUAACAUGUAACUACAUGUUCAUUUCAUUCUCCUAAAGGCCUUCAAGCAGGGGUGUCCAAUUUUUGGCUUCCCUGGGCCACAUUGGAAGAAAAGUUAUCUUGGGCCACACAUAAAAUACACUAACACGAACGAUAGUUGAUGAGAAAAAAAAUGCGAAAAAAAAAAACUCAUAAUGUUUUAUGUUGGGCAGUAUUCAAAGCAUCCUGGGCCACAGGCGGCCCGUGGGUGGUAGGUUGGACAAGCUGGCUUUAAAGGCUCCUCAUUUCCCAUAGGACAAAACAUUAAGGGGAGUUAAGCAAAAGAGAAGUCCAGUGUGAAAGGUUUUGGGGCCCCUUGAAGGAAACGGAAUUCCCAAGGUUAGAUCCUC
rnacentral:lncRNA from 10 species